rnacentral:rRNA from 1 species
CCUACGGGAGGCAGCAGUGGGGAAUCUUGCACAAUGGGCGAAAGCCUGAUGCAGCCAUGCCGCGUGAAUGAUGAAGGCCUUAGGGUUGUAAAAUUCUUUCGCUAGGGAUGAUAAUGACAGUACCUAGUAAAGAAGCCCCGGCUAACUUCGUGCCAGCAGCCGCGGUAAUACGAAGGGGGCUAGCGUUGUUCGGAAUUACUGGGCGUAAAGCGCACGUAGGCGGACUUUUAAGUCAGGUGUGAAAUCCCAGGGCUCAACCCUGGAACUGCAUUUGAAACUGGAAGUCUAGAGACCAGGAGAGGUUAGCGGAAUACCGAGUGUAGAGGUGAAAUUCGUAGAUAUUCGGUGGAACACCAGUGGCGAAGGCGGCUAACUGGACUGGUACUGACGCUGAGGUGCGAAAGUGUGGGGAGCAAACAGGAUUAGAUACCCUAGUAGUC